rfam:Triticum urartu cultivar G1812 contig980958, whole genome shotgun sequence.
UAGCUUUGCCUAAGUCAAACUCUUACAAGUUUGAUAAAGUUCAUAGAAAAAAUUACUAAUAUCUACAACAUCAAAUAUGUAUAGUAUGAAAAUAUAUUUUAUGAUGAAUCUAAUGAAGCUAAUUUGUGUUGUAGAUGUUGGUUCAUUUUUCUAUAGACUUGGUCAAGCUUAACAAGGUUUUAACUUGGGACAAACCUAGA